rnacentral:tRNA from 32 species
GGGCGGUUGGCGCAGUGGUAGCGCACUUCCCUGACACGGAAGGGGUCACAAGUUCGAAUCUUGUAUCGCCCACCA